rnacentral:rRNA from 1 species
GACGAACGCUGGCGGCGUGCCUAACACAUGCAAGUCGAGCGGAGACAUUGGCUUCGGUUAAUGUUUUAGCGGCGGACGGGUGAGUAACGCGUGAGCAACCUUUCUCUUACUGGGGAAUAACACAGGGAAACUUGUACUAAUACCGCAUGAGACCACAGAUGGGCAUCCAUCAGGGGUCAAAGAUUUAUCGGUAAGAGGUGGGCUCGCGUCUGAUUAGAUAGUUGGUGGGGUAAUGGCCUACCAAGUCGACGAUCGGUAGCCGAACUGAGAGGUUGAACGGCCACAUUGGAACUGAGAUACGGUCCAGACUCCUACGGGAGGCAGCAGUGGGGAAUAUUGGGCAAUGGCGAAAGCCUGACCCAGCGACGCCGCGUGAGGGAAGAAGGUCUUCGGAUUGUAAACCUCUUUCAGCAGGGAAGAAGUAAGUGACGGUACCUGCAGAAGAAGUCACGGCUAACUACGUG